GGCAUGAUGAAGGUGGCUCAGGUGGUUAGAACGUGGUGUUAAAAAUGCCAAGGUUGUGGGUUUGAUCCCCGUAUGGGCCA